UCAGAACGAACGCUGGCGGCAGGCCUAACACAUGCAAGUCGAGCGCUACCUUCGGGUGGAGCGGCGGACGGGUUAGUAACGCGUGGGAAUAUACCCAGUUCUAAGGAAUAGCCUCUGGAAACGGAGAGUAAUACCUUAUACGCCCUUCGGGGGAAAGAUUUAUCGGAAUUGGAUUAGCCCGCGUUAGAUUAGAUAGUUGGUGGGGUAAUGGCCUACCAAGUCUACGAUCUAUAGCUGGUUUGAGAGGAUGAUCAGCAACACUGGGACUGAGACACGGCCCAGACUCCUACGGGAGGCAGCAGUGGGGAAUCUUAGACAAUGGGCGCAAGCCUGAUCUAGCCAUGCCGCGUGUGUGAUGAAGGCCUUAGGGUCGUAAAGCACUUUCAACUGUGAAGAUAAUGACGGUAGCAGUAGAAGAAACCCCGGCUAACUCCGUGCCAGCAGCCGCGGUAAUACGGAGGGGGUUAGCGUUGUUCGGAAUUACUGGGCGUAAAGCGUACGUAGGCGGAUUAGUAAGUUAGAGGUGAAAUCCCAGGGCUCAACCCUGGAACUGCCUUUAAAACUGCUAGUCUUGAGAUCGAGAGAGGUGAGUGGAAUUCCAAGUGUAGAGGUGAAAUUCGUAGAUAUUUGGAGGAACACCAGUGGCGAAGGCGGCUCACUGGCUCGAUACUGACGCUGAGGUACGAAAGUGUGGGGAGCAAACAGGAUUAGAUACCCUGGUAGUCCACACCGUAAACGAUGAAUGCCAGACGUCAGCAGGCUUGCCUGUUGGUGUCACACCUAACGGAUUAAGC
rnacentral:rRNA from 1 species